rnacentral:misc_RNA from 1 species
GAUAAGAACGUAGUGAAAUGCGAUAAGUAAUGUGAAUUGCAGAAUUCAGUGAAUCAUCGAAUCUUUGAACGCACAUUGCGCCCCCUGGUAUUCCGGGGGGCAUGCCUGUCCGAGCGUCAUUACAACCCUCAAGCUCAGCUUGGUGUUGGGCCCCGCCGCCCCGGCGGGCCCUAAAGUCAGUGGCGGUGCCGUCCGGCUCCGAGCGUAGUAAUUCUUCUCGCUCUGGAGGUCCGGUCGUGUGCUCGCCAGCAACCCCCAAUUUUUUUCAGGUUGACCUCGGAUCAGGUAGGGAUACCCGCUGAACUUAAGCAUAUCAAUAAGCGGAGGA